rnacentral:snRNA from 1 species
CGGUGCGCCCCCGGCGGCC